AGGUGCUUGUCCGUCGCUUUCUUCCUCUGCCUCUGAAAGCAUUAACAGUCAGCAUGACAUCUACCUGGCAAUAGGUGUUCGAUCUACUGUGUUUUCCGUGACAAAACGUCGGCCACGGAGGCGUUCCCAUGGAAACACCAGAACAAGGGGAAAGGUAUUAGGCCAUGGCAAGAGGAAAAAGAAGGGGAAGGACCACUGGGGAUGCCGCUUUAUCCUGACGUGCGCGUUGACACUGCAGUUGGUCCCCGACACC